AUUGAACGCUGGCGGCAUGCUUUACACAUGCAAGUCGAACGGUAACAGGCCGCAAGGUGCUGACGAGUGGCGAACGGGUGAGUAAUGCAUCGGAACGUGCCCAGUCGUGGGGGAUAACGCAGCGAAAGCUGCGCUAAUACACCAUACGAUCUAUGGAUGAAAGCGGGGACCGUAAGUCCCCGCGCGAUUGGAGCGGCCGAGUUCAGAUUAGGGAGUUGGUGGGGUAAAGGCUCACCAAGCCAACGAUCUGUAGCUGGGCUGAGAGGACGACAACCCACACUGGGACUGAGAAACGGCCCAGACUCCUACGGGAGGCAGCAGUGGGGAAUUUUUGACAAUGGGCGCAAGCCUGAUCCAGCAAUGCCGCGUGCAGGAAGAAGGCCUUCGGGUUGUAAACUGCUUUUGUACGGAACGAAACGGUCCUGGUUAAUACCUGGGGCUAAUGACGGUACCGUAAGAAUAAGCACCGGCUAACUACGUGCCAGCAGCCGCCGCAGUAA
rnacentral:rRNA from 1 species